GAAUUCGCCCUUAGAGUUUGAUCCUGGCUCAGGAUGAACGCUGGCGGCGCGCCUAACACAUGCAAGUCGAACGGAGAAUGUAGCAAUACGUUCUUAGUGGCGAACGGGUGAGUAACGCGUUGGUGACCUGCCCCGAAGCGGGGGAUAACAGUCCGAAAGGAUUGCUAAUACCCCAUGUGGUCAUUGGGAUUAGAUGCCCGAUGAUUAAAGGUGUAAACCACUUCGGGAGGGGCCUGCGUCCCAUCAGUAAGAUGAUAGGGUAAUGGCCUACCAAGGCUUUGACGGGUAGGGGACCUGAGAGGAUGACCCCCCACAAUGGAACUGAAACACGGUCCAUACGCCUACGGGUGGCAACAGUGAGGAAUAUUGGUUAAUGGGCGAAAGCCCGAACCAGCAACGCCGCGUGUGCGAUGAAGGCCUUCGGGUUGUAAAGCACUUUUGGAGGGGAAGAGAAGGGACGGUACCCUCCGAAUAAGCCUCGGCUAACUACGUGCCAGCAGCCGCGGUAACACGUAGGAGGCGAGCGUUAUCCGGAUUUACUGGGCGUAAAGGGUGCGUAGGCGGUUCCGCAUGUCGGAUGUGAAAUCUCACUGCUCAACGGUGGAAUGGCAUUCGAAACUGCGGGGCUGGAGUACAGGAGAGGAGAGCGGAAUUCCUGGUGUAGCGGUGAAAUGCGUAGAUAUCAGGAGGAACACCGGUGGCGAAGGCGGCUCUCUGGACUGAUACUGACGCUGAGGCACGAAAGCUGGGGGAGCAAACAGGAUUAGAUACCCUGGUAGUCCCAGCCCUAAACGGUGUACACUUGGUGUGAGGAGGAUUGUCCCUCUUUGCGCCGGAGCUAACACGUUAAGUGUACCGCCUGGGGAGUACGGCCGCAAGGCUAAAGCUCAAAGGAAUUGACGGGGGCCCGCACAAGCGGUGGAGCAUGUGGCUCAAUUCGAUGCAACGCGAAGAACCUUACCAGGGUUUGACAUGCCGAGUACCCGAUGGAAACAUUGGGGUGCCCCGUAAGGGGAACUUGGACACAGGUGCUGCAUGGCUGUCGUCAGCUCGUGCCGUGAGGUGUUGGGUUAAGUCCCGCAACGAGCGCAACCCUCACCCUUAGUUGCCAUCAUUAAGUUGGGCACCCUAAGGGAACUGCCGCAGUUAAUGCGGAGGAAGGUGGGGAUGACGUCAAGUCCUCAUGGCCCUUAUAUCCAGGGCUACACACGUGCUACAAUGGACGGUACAAAGGGUCGCGAACCUGUAAGGGGGAGCUAACCCCAGAAAACCGCUCUCAGUUCGGAUUGGAGUCUGCAACCCGACUCCAUGAAGUUGGAAUCGCUAGUAAUCGCGGAUCAGAACGCCGCGGUGAAUAAAGUCCCGGGCCUUGUAC
rnacentral:rRNA from 1 species